UUAACUUGGGAGUCAGAACAUGGGUGAUAAGGUCCGUGUUCGAAAGGGAAACAGCCCAGACCACCAGCUAAGGUCCCAAAAUAUAUGUUAAGUGGAAAAGGAUGUGGCGUUGCCCAGACAACUAGGAUGUUGGCUUAGAAGCAGCCAUCAUUUAAAGAGUGCGUAAUAGCUCACUAGUCGAGUGACACUGCGCCGAAAAUGUACCGGGGCUAAACAUAUUACCGAAGCUGUGGAUUGUCCUUUGGACAAUGGUAGGAGAGCGUUCUAAGGGCGUUGAAGCAUGAUCGUAAGGACAUGUGGAGCGCUUAGAAGUGAGAAUGCCGGUGUGAGUAGCGAAAGACGGGUGAGAAUCCCGUCCACCGAUUGACUAAGGUUUCCAGAGGAAGGCUCGUCCGCUCUGGGUUAGUCGGGUCCUAAGCUGAGGCCGACAGGCGUAGGCGAUGGAUAACAGGUUGAUAUUCCUGUACCACCUAUAAUCGUUUUAAUCGAUGGGGGGAC
rnacentral:rRNA from 1 species